AGUGAACGCUGGCGGUAGGCCUAACACAUGCAAGUCGAACGGCAGCACAGUAAGAGCUUGCUCUUACGGGUGGCGAGUGGCGGACGGGUGAGGAAUACAUCGGAAUCUACUUUUUCGUGGGGGAUAACGUAGGGAAACUUACGCUAAUACCGCAUACGACCUACGGGUGAAAGCAGGGGAUCUUCGGACCUUGCGCGAUUGAAUGAGCCGAUGUCGGAUUAGCUAGUUGGCGGGGUAAAGGCCCACCAAGGCGACGAUCCGUAGCUGGUCUGAGAGGAUGAUCGGCCACACUGGAACUGAGACACGGUCCAGACUCCUACGGGAGGCCGCAGUGGGGAAUAUUGGACAAUGGGCGCAAGCCUGAUCCAGCCAUGCCGCGUGGGUGGAGAAGGCCUUCGGGUUGUAAAGCCCUUUUGUUGGGAAAGAAAAGCAGCAGGUUAAUACCCCGCUGUUCUGACGGUACCCAAAGAAUAAGCACCGGCUAACUUCGUG
rnacentral:rRNA from 1 species